GUCAAAAAGCCCUUAACCCUCUUUUUCAACCUAACUUUCUGUUAUGCUGUGUACUGCUCUGCUAUUGCCGUUACUCUUUUCCAACUCUUCUCAUUUCUAAUCUCUCUCGCCUUCGCCGGAGAUUUCUCUCUUCAUUUCCUGCCGCCACAAUUUCCGCCGCUAAGAAUGCCACAGCCAAGGCUUCCCAUACUAAAGAGAAAGAUUAUCUCAACGCGGUAAUCAAAGAUCGAAUCCAAUUGUUCGAAUCCAUCAAAGAACAGCAAAUCCCGCGCUUUUAAUCGCUCGAGCACGACACAGUUAAGAUUAGCUUUGGGAUAUGAAUAGAUACUGAUUUCACUGUCGGCUGUUCAACCAACUACAAUUACUUGCUUCGACUCAUAUAUCUUCUUGCUCUUUAUUUCAGGUAUGUGUUUAUAGUAUCUGCUAAUCAUUGAUUUGCUAAUCUUUUCUUAUUUAUCAUUUGUUUUAUUGAUAUUUUUGGUGAUGAGUGAUUGAUCUGUGAAAAAAACCAAACGGCGAGAGAGGGGGAGCUGCCGGAGUCGAUAUUGACGCUAAUGCUGACGCCAAAGACCUGCUCGUUGCCGAUGUCGAUAUCGACGUCGUUGUUGACGCGAAAGCCAGUGCUCGCUGCCGACGCGAAAGGCGGUGCUUGAUGCCGACGCCGAUGUUGAGGCCAUCGCUCAAAUGGUUACGUAGGUUUAACUGUAAAAUUAAUUGUUUGUUUGCAUUUGUUUUAUUUGAUGUUAAUUAGGUUUAACUGAAAUUCUUUUAUAUUUGGUUUAAUUUAGAUGGUUAAAUCCUUUCUAUGUGAGGAAAGGAUUAAAAAGAUACGAUUCACAUUGAAGAAGACCACCAAGUUUUAUGGUGUAAAAAUGAAAUCUCUAUAUGUGGGCAAACAUUUUGAUAAAAAUAUAAAUAUCUUUUGGAAUUAAUGUAUGGUAUAAGCUCAAGGUCAUUAUGCUGGACUAUAUGCGCGAUUGUACUAUCUGUGGGUUAUUUGACCUGUAGGUCAUGCUUGUGUGUUGGAGUGAUAAUCUAAACUUGAGUUUUAUAUGAGGGUUGAUACAGCUCUAUAUUAGCUGCUUAUGUUCUUUGAACUAAUACCAUCUACCUAUAUGUUUAUUUUUUUAUGGCUGCUUGGUCAUUUUAAGUGAUUCAUUUGUUGUAUAUUGUAGGUGUUUUGGAGAACAUCUCCUUAUGCCCCUUUUUGUGUGUACAAUUUUUGUAUUAUUGAAAGCUUUAUUUUAUGGAAAGCUUUAUUUUAAAACUGGAGCAGGGUCUCGUAUAUUCAAGAUCAUCGAUCUCGGAGCUGCUGCAAAUUUACGGGUCGGAAUCAACUAUAUUCCAAAUGAGUUUCUUUUGGAUCCAAGGUUGAUUGGGGAUCAUUACAUGAAUGUAACGGCGGAGGAAAAAUUGACCAUGAUUUAGCCUAAUUUUUUUACAAAUGGCAUUUUCAGAAAAGGUAUAUAGUUCCUUCGGAAAGAAAAAGAUGGGUUUAAUUUAUAUGAAUCCUACUCCGGCGCCUGUGGAUGCUUUUCAGACAUUUGAUGGCAACUGGCUU